rnacentral:rRNA from 1 species
CCUACGGGAGGCAGCAGUGGGGGAUAUUGCACAAUGGGGGAAACCCUGAUGCAGCGACGCCGCGUGGGCGAAGAAGUAUUUCGGUAUGUAAAGCCCUAUCAACAGGGAAGAAGAAAUGACGGUACCUGAGUAAGAAGCACCGGCUAAAUACGUGCCAGCAGCCGCGGGAAUACGUAUGGUGCAAGCGUUAUCCGGAGUUACUGGGUGUAAAGGGAGCGCAGGCGGCACGGCAAGCCUGAUGUGAAAGUCCGAGGCCCAACCGUGGAAUUGCAUUGGGAACUAGCGGGCUGGAGUGCCGGGGAGGUAGGCGGAAUUCCUAGUGUAGCGGUGAAAUGCGUAGAUAUUAGGAGGAACUCCGGUGGCGAAGGCAGCCUACUGGACGGUGACUGACGCUGAGGCUCGAAAGCGUGGGGAGCAAACAGGAUUAGAUACCCGAGUAGUC